AAAGUACUCCCUCCGUCCCAAAAUUCUUGUCUUAGAUUUGUCUAGAUACAGAUGUAUCAAGUCACAUUUUAGUAUUAGAUACAUCAGUAUCUAGACAAAUCUAAGACAAGAAAUUUGGGACAGAGGGAGUAGUUG
rnacentral:pre_miRNA from 1 species